GUCUACUUCCUUGUGCCUGACGUCAUCACGCACGUCGUUACGUGUCAGUGGGCGCGGUCUCGCAAAACUUGUUAUUGGGAGUGGCGUACAGAAAAUAGAAACUGCGCCAUCAGGAGCAAUGCGCGUUCAUGUGGAUUUGGCGGGCUGCCUGGCUGCAGCGGGCACUCUCACAGCGCUGGGCCCACACUGCUCCCCUGGGUACUUUAUCCCUCAGUUCAGUCGGAUGCUGGGAGGGAUGCACCACAAAGAUGCGCUGCAGCGGCUGCCGGUUACUCUGCUUCAUGAUAUGAUCAUCGAGGGACUGAACAUCUCGUGCCCAGUGGCAUUCUGACUCCCAUCAUGCACAGUACCAUCAUGGAGAACACAUUUAUAUCCCACGGGUGUAUCAAACACAAUGGGAAUAGAGACACCAAGUGACAGAAAUGCUAAUGUAGCUAAUGUAGAGUCUGAUUCUGAACUAAGUGGAGCAGAGCAAAACAAAUAUGAAGAAAAUGGAAAUGUGGCAGAAUCUUCUAUUACUGAAGCCAGACUUCACUCCAAAGCAAAGCGCCGCCUGAGGAAGAAUUCCCCCCGGGACUCGGGGAGAGGCGAGUUCGGGGGAGUUCCAGAAAUCUGUCUUGCCCUGCCCCCGCCUUUCCCUGGUAGGGAGCAGAAGUUUUCUCUGGAGC